GUACAACAAGCUCUGUGGUUUUAUUUCUCCUAAAUGGGAAGAAACAUGGAGAGGAAGAAAAGUGUGCAAUUUCAGUUGCAAAUGGAGGCAGGGGCGCACCAUGUUCUCUGAUACGAUUGUACCUCCCAUUGGUAAGAAUCAGAGGCUGAAUAGAUUCUGUUACUGAAACUCAACACUUAGUUCAUACCUGCUGCAAUUUUAAUUACUUGUUGACUCUUUAUGGCUUUUGCUCUAAGUUGGAGUAUGGUGACAAACACACAAGUAAGUUUGCAAAGGCA
rnacentral:lncRNA from 1 species